AGGUUCAAUAGUAAUGUGAAGUACGCAAAGACAAGUAGACCGUUAUUCAUCGGCAUCUACUUACUAAUCAUCCACCUUGAGAUAUCUAUCCAAAACAUCUCGCUGGUAUUAAGUUGCGAGCCCCACCCAAAGUGUAAACUCAAAGAAACGGACAACUGCAUUAAUGAACUAUGCGUAAGGCAACCAUGGUCACAAGCACCGUUGUUUUCUCCCUGGUGGCAACAGCUCAUCCCCUAGUCUCAUGUUUCUGUCACUCAAGCUAGACAUGGAGGGGCAUGAACCCACAAUCAUGCAUAACGCUCCCUCUUGGAAUUACAAUCUACUACUCGGCCAAAGCAAUAAAUAGCAACGGAGAACAUGUAUGAAUCACGAAGGAACGUAAUAUAAAAGGAUAAUCA
rnacentral:lncRNA from 1 species